rnacentral:lncRNA from 1 species
AGCUGCCAUUCCAUCUUGCUGAUUUUAACUAACUGAAAGGAUGCAGCAUUUGACUAGAGCAGCCUACCUGGUUAUUAUGUCCUUUUCAUUUUCCCUGUCUUUGUUACACCCGGCUAAAGCAAUCCAUUGAGUGGGAGAUAAGCAAAAUGCGUGGCUGUCUGUGAGCAUUCUAGCUCUACGGUAUCUUGUUUGGAUAGUUCUUGCCAAGUUACUCCCCCUAAAUUGAACUGGUUUCCCAUAUACUAAAUCAGAAAUUAAGUAACCUAGUUUCUAAAUACUAAUAAUAUUAAUAAAAUAAUAAAGUCAUUCUUUAAAAAUGUUAUUAUGACAACUUGAUAUUAGUGACUUGGGAACCAUGGAAAGAAACUUGGUUCAAAUAGACACAAUAUUGGGUUUCUUACUACAUUUAGAAGUAAGUAUAUUUAGUGGAGUACAAAGGAACUAUUGAUGGUAUUCACUACUGAUCUUGUCAAAGUCAAAGUUUUUAAAACUUAAAAAAGAUGACUCAUACGAAUAUAGAAUAAACAUGUCAAAAGUUUAUUUAACUCAUUAACAAGGCUUAUGAGUCAAGAGUUUAACCAGGUAAGAAGAAUCAGUAAAAUACAUGGAUACACAUAUUUACUCACUUAUUUAUUAACUUCAAAGAAUUGAUUUACAAAUUCUGGACUUUCUGACCUAUAGAACUUCAGAACUUCUGAAAGUUCUAUAGGUGAGGAAGUCCAGAAGGGAAGAUUAUAAAUAUGCUGGAACUCCAUCAGUUUGGACCAAAGCUUGUUGUUUAUAGGCUGUCAGAAAAGAAUGAUUAGGAGCAGGCUGGAACUUAAAAGGGCCCAAGCUGUGUCCUCAGGGAAGGCUUAAACAUU